GAUGAACGCUAGCGACAGGCCUAACACAUGCAAGUCGAGGGGCAGCACAUGAGUAGCAAUACGAUGGUGGCGACCGGCGCACGGGUGAGUAACACGUAUGCAACCUACCUGUAAGAGGGGAAUAACCCGGAGAAAUUCGGACUAACACCGCAUAAUACCUCGAAGCUGCAUGGCUUUGAGGUUAAAUAUUUAUAGCUUACAGAUGGGCAUGCGUAACAUUAGAUAGUUGGUGAGGUAACGGCUCACCAAGUCAACGAUGUUUAGGGGUUCUGAGAGGAAGGUCCCCCACACUGGUACUGAGACACGGACCAGACUCCUACGGGAGGCAGCAGUGAGGAAUAUUGGUCAAUGGGCGAGAGCCUGAACCAGCCAAGUCGCGUGAAGGAAGAAGGUUCUAUGGAUUGUAAACUUCUUUUGUAAGGGAAUAAAAGGUUACGUGUAACUUAUUGUAUGUAUUUACGAAUAAGGAUCGGCUAACUCCGUGCCAGCAGCCGCGGUAA
rnacentral:rRNA from 1 species